rnacentral:lncRNA from 1 species
CUUCUCUUCAGUUCCCUGGAAGACAAGGCAAUACAAAGAUCGUUCGUUUUGAAGAUUCCAUUUUCCUAGGGCUUGGGUGCGGCCAUCAAGAUAGCGACUCAGACUGCUGAAACAUCGCCAAAAGAGCUGUGAAGCUAUACUUUAUUAAAAAUGGCAAUGGUAUCAGAAUUCCUCAAGCAGGCCUGCUAUAUUGAAAAGCAAGAGCAGGAAUAUGUUCUGUAAAAUCCUACAAAGGUGGUCCUGGAUCAGCAGUGAGCCCCUACCCUUCCUUCAAUCCGUCCUCGGAUGUUGCUGCCUUGCACAAAGCUAUCAUGGUUAAAGGUGUGGAUGAGGCAACCAUCAUUGACAUCCUUACCAAGAGAACCAAUGCUCAGCGCCAGCAGAUCAAGGCAGCAUACUUACAGGAGACUGGGAAGCCCCUGGAUGAAACCUUGAAAAAAGCCCUUACGGGCCACCUGGAGGAGGUUGUUUUGGCUAUGCUCAAGACCCCAGCUCAGUUUGAUGCAGA